AGGAAAGUAGGGGAUCGCAAGACCUUGCGCUCUUGGAGCGGCCGAUGUCUGAUUAGCUAGUUGGUGAGGUAAAGGCUUACCAAGGCGACGAUCAGUAGCUGGUCUGAGAGGACGACCAGCCACACUGGGACUGAGACACGGCCCAGACUCCUACGGGAGGCAGCAGUGGGGAAUUUUGGACAAUGGGGGAAACCCUGAUCCAGCCAUGCCGCGUGAGUGAAGAAGGCCUUCGGGUUGUAAAGCUCUUUCAGCCGGAACGAAACGGUCACGGCUAAUACCUGUGAUCACUGACGGUACCGGAAGAAGAAACACCGGCUAACUACGUGCCAGCAGCCGCGGUAAUACGUAGGGUGCAAGCGUUAAUCGGAAUUACUGGGCGUAAAGCGUGCGCAGGCGGUUUUGUAAGUCAGAUGUGAAAUCCCCGGGCUUAACCUGGGAACUGCGUUUGAAACGACAAGGCU
rnacentral:rRNA from 1 species